CCCAGGUCAACCUACCAGCCUCCCAGUCUGCUCCAGCCCAGGUCAAUCUACCUGUCUCACAGUCUGCUCCAGCCCAGGUCAGAAUACCAGCUUCCCAGUCUGCUCCAGCCCAGGUCAAUCUACCAGUCUCCCAGUCUGCUCCAGCCCAGGUCAGAAUACCAGCCUCCCAGUCUGCUCCAGCCCAGAUCAGAUCAGGAUACCAGCCUCCCAGUCUGCUCCAGCCCAGGUCAGAAUACCAGCCUCCCAGUCUGCUCCAGCCCAGGUCAAUCUACCAGUCUCCCAGUCUGCUCCAGCCCAGGUCAGAAUACCAGCCUCCCAGUCUGCUCCAGCCCAG
ensembl:lncRNA